rnacentral:rRNA from 1 species
GACAGAGGGUGCAAACGUUGUUCGGAAUUACUGGGCGUAAAGCGCGUGUAGGCGGCUCUGCAAGUCGGAUGUGAAAUCCCACGGCUCAACCAUGGAAGUGCAUUCGAAACUGCAGGGCUAGAGUUCUGGAGAGGAAGGUGGAAUGCUUGGUGUAGAGGUGAAAUUCGUAGAUAUCGAGAGGAACAUCGGUGGCGAAGGCGGCCUUCUGGACGAUGACUGACGCUGAGACGCGAAAGCGUGGGGAGCAAACAGG